AUGGAAACUGCCGCCGCUGGCUCGCGCCGCCCGCCGGCCCUCCGCCUCCUCUGCCCUAAGAAGUCCGUUCUCUCCUCCCCCUUCCCAUCCCUCCUCUGGCUCGUCGGCUCCCCUCGCUUCCUCCAGCCCGUCACCGUCGCUGCCGCCCUCCGCUGCCUCCGCUUCCUGUCUGACGACGGCCCGUUCUCCCCCGAUCUUCCCCACGAAGCAGACGAAAUCCGUGGAUUACUCGUGAGGGGGUUCGACAUCGUGGGGGGCCUGUUCGUCGGGAGCGCGAAUUUCGAGUCAGAUGCCGGCAGAGCGCUGGAACUGGCCGGGGAGCUGAGGGAGCGGCUGUUCGGCGAAAGGGCGAGCCAUGGCAUGGUUGGUGGCUGCGUGGAUGCGUCCACCGGGGACAUUCGGUUUCUUGUUUCGGAGAGUGGCGGGUCAGAAGUUGUGGAAGGGCAGGAGGUGCUGUGGGGGGAUGAGCCGGGGAGGUCGCUGCUGGAGAAGGGCUGCCUUCUGCGCUGCGAGCUGCAGCUGCAGCUGCCACUCUAUCUUCCUUCGGAUGAGACGAUGUCUGGCAUUGAAGCGAGGUUUUCUUCACUCAUUGAAUCUACAGCUGCUAACCUCAGAAGUCCUCAUGUUUCUUACCUAGUUGAAGGCCCGACUGCAACAUUUGACGAAUCACACCAUUCAGUUAUCUUACAUGGCAAUAAUUUGAAUUCUGUUUCCCAACUACCCAUCAACACAAACACAAACAAGUGCAGUGCCAAAAUUGUAUCCUGUUCAGAAUUCUUACCGACAAAGAGGCAUGACCUCUCCUCAAUAAGGGAGAAUGCAGAUGCAAUUCAGAUAACUGUCCUAUCCAAUCAAUCAUUGAACAUCUCAAAGGCUGGCUCCCCUGCCCCUAUGUUAAAGUACUUUCCAGCACCAGCACCAGCACCAGCUAGCCUGAGAGUAAUCGACCUGAAGCUAGAUAUAUUAUGCUACAGUUCUAUGGAUCUUCCUGUAGCCGUUGCUGUAUCUGAGCUAGUUAUUCCGGGAUUAGCUGAUCAGCUAAGCAUUAUGAAGAAGGCUAUCGUCUCAGAGCUCUUAACUCAACAGCCUAAGCUUUGUCCGUACCAUUUUAUUCCUCCUGGGUUGCUUAUUCCUCUAACAGCUAUAUACGACACAAGAUACGGGGAGAUUGAGGAAAAGCAGAGUGAACUGAGAAGAAAUCUGCACUUCAGGCUUGGUCUGCCCUUGGAUCGUCCUUUAUUACGGACUUCUAAUGCACUAACUUUUGGUGCCAUGGAAAGGCGAGAUAGAAGCUCAUCUAAAAGUGGUUCCUCAUUGCUUCGAGAUGUCCACAAAGAAAUUCCAUCUAGUGGUGUAUCUGGAGGAAUCAUGUCAUUGAUUGAGGGUUCAUAUGAGUAUUACCAUUACCUACAUGAUGGUAUCGAUGACAAUGGAUGGGGAUGUGCUUACCGUUCUCUACAAACAAUCAUGUCUUGGUACAGGCUACAACAGUAUUCGUCUAUAAAUGUUCCUUCACACAGGGAGAUCCAGCAAGUUCUUGUUGAAAUUGGUGAUAAGGAUCCAUCAUUUAUUGGAUCUCGGGAAUGGAUUGGAGCGAUAGAAUUAAGCUUUGUGCUUGACAAACUUCUUGGUAAUUCGGUCAUGCAGGCUAGUUGCAAGAUAAUUAACGUGAGAUCUGGUGAUGAGCUUCCUGAGAAAUGCAGAGAACUUGCGAUACAUUUUGAAACCCAGGGAACUCCUGUAAUGAUUGGUGGUGGAGUUUUGGCUUAUACCCUUCUGGGAGUUGAUUACAACGAAGCCAGCGGUGAUUGUGCUUUUCUCAUCCUUGAUCCACACUACACUGGUAGUGAUGACCUCAAGAAGAUUGUUAAUGGUGGGUGGUGCGCGUGGAAGAAGUCUGUCGACAGCAAGGGUCGGAGCUUCUUCUUGAAGGACAAGUUCUACAACCUCCUUCUGCCCCAAAGGCCCAAUAUGGUGUGA
rnacentral:rRNA from 1 species